UACGUAGGGGGGCAAGCGUUGUCCGGAAUUAUUGGGCGUAAAGCGCGUGUAGGCGGCCAGAAAAGUCCGCUGUGAAAACUCGAGGCUCAACUUCGAGCUGUCGGUGGAAACUUUCUGGCUAGAGUCCGGAAGAGGAGAAUGGAAUUCCUGGUGUAGCGGUGAAAUGCGCAGAUAUCAGGAAGAACACCGAUGGCGAAGGCAGCUCUCUGGGACGGUACUGACGCUGAGGAGCGAAAAGCGUGGGGGAGCAAACAGG
rnacentral:rRNA from 1 species